rnacentral:rRNA from 1 species
GACGAACGCUGGCGGCGUGCUUAACACAUGCAAGUCGAACGGUAAGGCUCCAGCUUGCUGGGGUACACGAGUGGCGAACGGGUGAGUAACACGUGGGUGACCUGCCCUGCACUUCGGGAUAAGCCUGGGAAACUGGGUCUAAUACCGGAUAGGACCGCACCGUGAGGGUGUGGUGGAAAGUUUUUUCGGUGUGGGAUGGGCCCGCGGCCUAUCAGCUUGUUGGUGGGGUAAUGGCCUACCAAGGCGGCGACGGGUAGCCGGCCUGAGAGGGUGGACGGCCACAUUGGGACUGAGACACGGCCCAGACUCCUACGGGAGGCAGCAGUGGGGAAUAUUGCACAAUGGGCGGAAGCCUGAUGCAGCGACGCCGCGUGGGGGAUGACGGCCUUCGGGUUGUAAACUCCUUUCACCAUCGACGAAGGGUUUCUGACGGUAGAUGGAGAAGAAGCACCGGCUAACUACGUGCCAGCAGCCGCGGUAAUACGUAGGGUGCAAGCGUUGUCCGGAAUUACUGGGCGUAAAGAGCUCGUAGGUGGUUUGUCGCGUCGUCUGUGAAAUUCCGGGGCUUAACUCCGGGCGUGCAGGCGAUACGGGCAUAACUUGAGUACUGUAGGGGAGACUGGAAUUCCUGGUGUAGCGGUGAAAUGCGCAGAUAUCAGGAGGAACACCGGUGGCGAAGGCGGGUCUCUGGGCAGUAACUGACGCUGAGGAGCGAAGGCAUGGGGAGCGAACAGGAUUAGAUACCCUGGUAGUCCAUGCCGUAAACGGUGGGCGCUAGGUGUGGGUUUCCUUCCACGGGAUCCGUGCCGUAGCUAACGCAUUAAGCGCCCCGCCUGGGGAGUACGGCCGCAAGGCUAAAACUCAAAGGAAUUGACGGGGGCCCGCACAAGCGGCGGAGCACGUGGAUUAAUUCGAUGCAACGCGAAGAACCUUACCUGGGCUUGACAUAUACAGGAUCGCGCCAGAGAUGGUGUUUCCCUUGUGGCUUGUAUACAGGUGGUGCAUGGUUGUCGUCAGCUCGUGUCGUGAGAUGUUGGGUUAAGACCCGCAACGAGCGCAACCCUUGUCUUAUGUUGCCAGCACGUUGUGGUGGGGACUCGUAAGAAACUGCCGGGGUUAACUCGGAGGAAGGUGGGGAUGACGUCAAAUCAUCAUGCCCCUUAUGUCCAGGGCUUCACACAUGCUACAAUGGUCGGUACAGUGGGUUGCCAGUCCGUGAGGGCGAGCUAAUCCCGCAAAGCCGGUCUCAGUUCGGAUCGGGGUCUGCAACUCGACCCCGUGAAGUCGGAGUCGCUAGUAAUCGCAGAUCAGCAACGCUGCGGUGAAUACGUUCCCGGGCCU